rnacentral:rRNA from 1 species
UACGUAGGCAGCGAGCGUUGUUCGGAGUUACUGGGCGUAAAGGGUGUGUAGGCGGUUGUUUAAGUUUGGCGUGAAAUCUCCCGGCUCAACUGGGAGGGUGCGCCGAAUACUGAAUGACUUGGAGUGCGGGAGAGGAGAGUGGAAUUCCUGGUGUAGCGGUGAAAUGCGUAGAUAUCAGGAGGAACACCGGUGGUGUAGACGGCUCUCUGGACCGUAACUGACGCUGAGACACGAAAGCGUGGGUAGCAAACAGG